AGUAUGUUUAAUUAUGAACUCUUUGUCACUCCACCAGACAGUAAAAUAAAGUGACUCUGCGUCGGAUACUUUCCCGAAGCCAGUGAGGAAAUUCCUUUCCCUUCCCCUAUCUCUAAUAGGGGGCUGGUCUGUUUCACAUUCAACACCGCUACUGAAAUUCUAGGAGAGGAGAGGCACAAUUUAUGAGGCACUGUGUAGAUGAGUGGCCAGGCUCCCAUCUCACCGAGCAUCCGGGCAAGAAAAAAACCUCGGAAAUCUUCAAACUGUCAAAGCAGUUGAAGCAUUUUGUAUCUUCAUUCCCAAUGAAUAAGCGUUCCAGUUCCUCCAUGUACUCAUCAAUAAUUGAAAAGAAAUUCUGCACAACUCCCACCACCCUCCAUUCUACAUCAUCUCACUCUAUCCCUCUGCAUUUGGACCAAAGAGACUUUCUCAAAGCCAGAUUUCAGAGUUUCAGACCGGUGGCUUGGCAACUUGGACCACAGCCUGCAGGAGGCUAGGACUGGGCUCCUUACACCAGAAGAAUGGCAACCCCAAGCAACAGCUUCAGAGUCCCAUCUUCUGGCGGGUAGCAGGUGCAUCUUUCCCAUUCUUUUUCCCCUCAGUCUCUGCCUGGUACAGAGUUCUCAAAGCAGAGCCCCAGAGGAACCUACCUUUCCCCCAAGAGGAAAGCUGCUUUGCAUGGAGCUUAAAUGUCCACAAAGGUGUGUGCUUUGGAAGCAGGAAGGAUAUUAAUGUUCAAAUCAAGAGGGAGAGGGAGUAGCAGAGAUUUCUCCAUGUGCAACUCUCCUGAAGCUGCAUGCUCGGUCAGACAGGAU
rnacentral:lncRNA from 1 species